UCGUCUAUUUUCUAAGAAAGAAAAAAAUCUUUCAAAUAUUGGUAGUCACUUGCUUUAUUUUGUUCACGUGUGGAUCC
rnacentral:ribozyme from 1 species